GCUGAAUGAUGAGUUUUUCCUCUUGGUCCGUGUUUAUGACAACAAUGAUUCUUUAAAGAGGUCUGAGGAC